rnacentral:rRNA from 1 species
UACGGAGGGUGCAAACGUUGCUCGGAAUCAUUGGGCGUAAAGCGCACGUAGGCGGCCUGUUAAGUCGGGUGUGAAAGCCCUGGGCUCAACCCAGGAAGUGCACUCGAAACUGGCAGGCUUGAAUAUGGAAGAGGGUCGCGGAAUUCCGGGUGUAGCGGUGGAAUGCGUAGAGAUCCGGAAGAACACCGGUGGCGAAGGCGGCCUGCUGGGCAGUUGCUGACACUGAGGCGCGACAGCGUGGGGAGCAAACAGG